rnacentral:rRNA from 1 species
GACGAACGCUGGCGGCGUGCCUAAUACCUGCAAGUAGAGCGCAGUUGCGACCGGGUGAGUAACGCUUAGGUAACUCCCUCAUAUCGGGGGACAACUAUUGGAAACGAUCGCUAAUACCCCAUUCUGUCAGAUGGACCUGCGUUGUAUUAGCUAUUUGGUGAUGUAAAGGCUUAACAAGGCGACGUUACAUAGCCGACCUGAGAGGGUGAGUGGCCACAAUGGGACUGAGACAAGGCCCCAAAUCCUACGGGAGGCAGCAGUAGGGAAACGUCGGCAAUGGACGGAAGUCUGAACGAGCAACGGCGCGGGAGUGAAGAAGGUUUUCGGGUCGGAAAGCUCUGUUGUUAGAGAAGCGGUAACUAACCAGAAAGGGACGGCUAACUACGUGCCAGCAGCCGCGGUAAUAC